CCUACGGUGAGCAGCAGUGAGGAAUAUUGGUCAAUGGGCGCGAGCCUGAACCAGCCAAGUAGCGUGAAGGAUGACUGCCCUACGGGUUGUAAACUUCUUUUAUAAAGGAAUAAAGUGAGGCACGUGUGCCUUUUUGUAUGUAUUUUAUGAAUAAGGAUCGGCUAACUCCGUGCCAGCAGCCGCGGUAAUACGGAGGAUGCGAGCGUUAUCCGGAUUUAUUGGGUUUAAAGGGUGCGUAGGCGGACUGGAAAGUCAGCGGUAAAAUCGAGAGGCUCAACCUCUUUCCGCCGUUGAAACGGUCGGUCUUGAGUGGGCGAGAAGUAUGCGGAAUGCGUGGUGUAGCGGUGAAAUGCAUAGAUAUCACGCAGAACUCCGAUUGCGAAGGCAGCAUACCGGCGCCCGACUGACGCUGAGGCACGAAAGCGUGGGUAUCGAACAGGAUUAGAUACCCGUGUAGUC
rnacentral:rRNA from 1 species